rnacentral:rRNA from 1 species
UACGUAGGGUGCAAGCGUUGUCCGGAAUUAUUGGGCGUAAAGCGCGCGUAGGCGGCUACCUAAGUCGGAUGUGAAAGCCCCUGGCUUAACUGGGGAAGUGCACCCGAAACUGAGUAGCUAGAGUGCGAAAGAGGGUCGCGGAAUUCCCGGUGUAGAGGUGAAAUUCGUAGAUAUCGGGAGGAACACCGGUGGCGAAGGCGGCGACCUGGGUCGACACUGACGCUGAGGCGCGAAAGCGUGGGGAGCAAACAGG